GCCCGACUAGCUCAUCGGUAGAGCGCCUCACUAGUAUAUCAUCUCUACUCGAGAAAGAUAACGUUGCAAUGAGGAGGCAACAGGUUCGAUUCCUGUGUUGGGCA